rnacentral:rRNA from 1 species
UACGGGGGGAGCAAGCGUUGUUCGGAUUUACUGGGCGUAAAGGGCGCGUAGGCGGCCAGCGCAAGUCAGUUGUGAAAUCUCCGGGCUUAACUCGGAAAGGUCAACUGAUACUGCGCGGCUAGAGUGCGGAAGGGGCAACUGGAAUUCUCGGUGUAGCGGUGAAAUGCGUAGAUAUCGAGAGGAACACCAGUGGCGAAGGCGGCUUCCUGGCCCGUUCUUGACGCUGAGGCGCGAAAGCUAGGGGAGCAAACGGG